rnacentral:rRNA from 1 species
CCUACGGGUGGCAGCAGUGAGGAAUAUUGGUCAAUGGCCGGAAGGCUGAACCAGCCAUGCCGCGUGAAGGUCAGUGCUCUUUGGGCGUUUAACUUUCUUUGUUCGGGAGACAUAAUCGUCACGUGUUGCCAGACUAGAGUUCCGUACGAAUAAGCCUCCGCUAACCUCGUGCCAGCGGCCGCGGUUAUACGGGGGGUGCAGGCGUUAUCCGGAUUUUUUGGGUUUAAAGGGUGCGUGGGCUGUGAGGUAAGUCAGCGGUGAAAUGCGCCGGGUCAACGGGGUGGAGUGCCAUUGAUACUGGCUUGCUGGAGUGCGGGUGCAGUGGGAGGAAUGUGUGGUGUAGCGGUGAAAUGCAUAGAUAUCACACAGAACUCCGAUUGCGAAGGCAGCUCACGGAUCCGCUAUUGACGCUGAUGCACGAAAGCGUGGGUAUCGAACAGGAUUAGAUACCCGAGUAGUC